rnacentral:rRNA from 1 species
AAGCGAGCGCAGGCGGAAUGAUAAGUCUGAUGUGAAAGCCCACGGCUCAACCGUGGAACUGCAUCGGAAACUGUCAUUCUUGAGUGCAGAAGAGGAGAGUGGAACUCCAUGUGUAGCGGUGGAAUGCGUAGAUAUAUGGAAGAACACCAGUGGCGAAGGCGGCUCUCUGGUCUGCAACUGACGCUGAGGCUCGAAAGCAUGGGUAGCGAACAGGAUUAGAUACCCUGGUAGUCCAUGCCGUAAACGAUGAGCGCUAGGUGUUGGGGACUUUCCGGUCCUCAGUGCCGCAGCAAACGCAUUAAGCGCUCCGCCUGGGGAGUACGACCGCAAGGUUGAAACUCAAAGGAAUUGACGGGGGCCCGCACAAGCGGUGGAGCAUGUGGUUUAAUUCGAAGCAACGCGAAGAACCUUACCAGGUCUUGACAUCCUGAGACCGUUAUAGAGAUAUAAUUUUCCCUUCGGGGACUCAGAGACAGGUGGUGCAUGGCUGUCGUCAGCUCGUGUCGUGAGAUGUUGGGUUAAGUCCCGCAACGAGCGCAACCCUUGUCUUUAGUUGCCAGCAUUAAGUUGGGCACUCUAGAGAGACUGCCGGUGACAAACCGGAGGAAGGUGGGGAUGACGUCAAGUCAUCAUGCCCCUUAUGACCUGGGCUACACACGUGCUACAAUGGGCAGUACAACGAGAAGCGAACCUGCGAAGGCAAGCGGAUCUCUUAAAGCUGUUCUCAGUUCGGACUGCAGGCUGCAACUCGCCUGCACGAAGCUGGAAUCGCUAGUAAUCGCGGAUCAGCACGCCGCGGUGAAUACGUUCCCGGGCCUUGUACACACCGCCCGUCACACCAUGGAAGUCUGCAAUGCCCAAAGUCGGUGGGAUAACCCUUUGGGAGUCAGCCGCCUAAGGCAGGGCAGAUGACUGGGGUGAAGUCGUAACAAGGUAACCGUA